UCUUAUGAUGAUUUUUCUUUUUGGAAUCUCGUUCGUCUGAACUCCUGUUGAGAAAUAUUCUUACUGAU
rnacentral:snoRNA from 1 species